UACGUAGGGGGCAAGCGUUGUCCGGAUUUCUUGGGCGUAAAGAGCGUGUAGGCGGCCAGACAGGUCCGUUGUGAAAACUAGAGGCUUAACCUCUAGACGUCGAUGGAAACCGUCUGGCUAGAGUCCGGAAGAGGAGAAUGGAAUUCCUGGUGUAGCGGUGAAAUGCGCAGAUAUCAGGAAGAACACCCGUGGCUAAGGCGGUUCUCUAGUACGGUACUGACGCUGAGACGCGAAAGCGUGGGGAGCGAACAGG
rnacentral:rRNA from 1 species